AGCGCUCCUAAAGUGAGGGAAAAAUUAUUUAUUGAAAAUGAUUAUCCAGAGGGAGUCGCUCAAGGUUUUCUUAUGAAUGCUUUGCUGGAGCUGUGGGUGGCUGUAGAUGGGUUUUUAUUUUGUUAAUGAUUCGAUGACGCCUUGUACUUGACACAUCGAUCAAAAAUCAUUAUGACUUAUUUGGGUUGCGUGCGUUAGUCAUGAAAGUGUGAAUGCCUGAUACACUGCACAAAACUAGAAAAUAUUUUGGUCAGUAAGUACAUCUUGGACAAGUAUUAGUCCAGAAAAUCAUAAAAAUUUACAACAUUAUGAAUUUCAUUCGCAAUUAAAGAGUAUUCGAAAUCGACUUAUAGCUGGACAUGUAUUUUGGCUGACUCGUUUGAAAUGUUUUCAAUAACUAAUCAAUCUUAAGAUUGACUUGGAUGUCUGCUUUGCACGCGAUGACUUAUUUCGGUUAGUGUUUUCCACAGCCGGGAACAGAAGAUGAAGCCAAAUAGAAGCCGGCAAUGGAGCUGAGCUGCUGAUUUUGCAAUGGCGCAGGAGAAGGAGGAGAUGACGAGGGAAGGAGGAGGAGAGGUGAAGAGCAUCGAAAACUUUUUCGGAACUGGCUGUGUGUACUCGACAACAGCAAAGCAAGUGCCAACUUUUUUGCUGGCGCACAUCAAUCAGCCUGGGGUGGAAACGUAAGCUCACGUCACUCAGCCAGACAGUCCUUCAGUCAACGGGUCGACGAGGCACACGGAGGUGAAAAGACGGAGGGAAACGGAGACAGAGGCAGAGACACAAAAAGAGAGGAGUGAGAGAUGGAUAGAGUAUGCGAGGUAGUGGGUUUUGAAACUUAUGGCGUUGACAGCCGGAAUACAAAAUGCGGGCGAACAAUGUCGAUACGAAUCAAGCGAAAGUUCAACUUGCUUUUCUUUUCCAUGCUGCUCUCUGUUCAGUUUCCCCAUUGCCAUGAUGCACGCUAGCUGCUCGUUCGGCACAUAAGUGUAUGAAUUGCGAAUGACUAUGGAAAAUAUGAAAAAUUUGCUUGCCAGUCCGCAACAGAGAGUUACAUCCUUUGGCCAUGCCAUCCCAAAGAGAGCUAGCUAGAGAGAGAGAGAGAGAGAGAGAGAGAGAGUUCUGAACUAUAAAUGCCAGACAAUAAAUAACCGCAACUUAAGCAUAUUGCGGUAGGAGCUCACAGACCGCCGUCUAACCCUCUGACACUCUCCUAUAACUCACUCACUCAUACUUUCUCGCUCUUCCUCUGGCACCCUCCGACCGUCGGCCAUAUUUCAUUUUCAUGCUCCCAAUUGUUUUGCUUUUGACAAAUGAGUGAGCUAGACAGAGGCAUACACAGACGCGUACACUGUAAAUUCAGCAAGUGCGGGUGCCGUUCGACUUCCACUAAGCAGACUCAAAUGUGAUCGCGAUCUGUCGUGCAGUGUAGUGAGCGAGUGACAGAGAUAGCACUAGCGCAUGUGCUCCACAAGGCAGGCCAUCAAAAUAACAAAUAACAACGACUAGCACAAUUGAUUGGAUGUCAUUAAUUUUCAUUUCAAAUUACGCUGCCACUAUGUCUUGGUCAUGGUACCACUUCUACAUCGACUUCAACAUCACUCUUGUCCUCGUUUUUGUUCUCGUCCUCGUCCUCGUCUUCGUCCUGAUUGUGCUUUGCCUGCAGCUGGGAGAUGUCAGGCAAGUUAACAUCAGGCAGCCACUGGGCCAAAGUCAAAGUCGUGCCAAAGUCAGGCCAACAGGCCAAAUAUACAGAACGCAAAGAAGUCAAAAUGCCAUCGCCUUUUCAAGUUUGAAGUUUCUCUAUUCUUAGCCAGA